CACAUCAGCAACUCUUCUCUCAAUUUUCCACGUCACUUUUCUCAAUUUUAUGCUCAUGCUACGACGGUUACACUUCUCAAAUUGCAGUUACUUAAGUAUCCUCUUUCUCCUAUUCAUUUCACGUUACAAACUUUCUCCAAAUUCUCUUCAUCAAUUCAUUUCACGUUACAAACUUCCAGCGGUUACUACUCUCCACAUUCAUCUUCCCCAAAUGCUAACCCUAAUUCAAAUACUCAGUACUUCACACAACCUUUCAUCAACCCUUAUCACAACCAUUACCACAAAUUCAUCAUUGGACCGCAACAGAUUCACAACGUGCGGAGCACCGUCAUCGGUGAAAAACAAACCAUGGAGCACGGUUGUGACAUCAGAUUCACGAACAACAAUUUGCGGAUCCGUCAACAAGCUUCCAUUCGCACACUGAUUGAAAAACAAACCAUGGAGCACGGUUGCGACAUCAGAUUCACGAACAACAAUUUGCGGAUCCGUCAACAAGCUUCCAUUCGCACACUGAUUGAAGCAAUUAUUGGGUUUUGUCUGAAUUUUCAGAUAAGGUUUGUUUUUUGAUGCAGAUUAGAUAGAUUCCUUUCAUGUGCAUUUUCUGAUCGGUUUUGCUUGAAUGGGAAAAUAGAGGGAAACAAUGUUGGAAUUUUGAAGGACGGGAACGUGGAAAUUGGAGAUGAAACGGAGAAAUUGAGAACAUAUAAUGGUCCUGUGAAGGAUAAGAAAGUGAAACAGCCAAGUGGUAAAGGUGUGAAUGCAAGUUUAGUGAGAAAGAACAAAGUCGGGAAAGAUGAAGAGGUGGCAGCAACAGCGGCUGUUUCGAAUGGUACUUUGAGUUUAGACUCGAAUCUGAGGCAGGCGGUUAAGAGCAGACUGUUGAAUGACAAGCACACUCGAUUGAACAAGCAAGCGGGAAAGUCUGAUGCAGUGUCUUCUGAAGCACCAAUGUAUGAAAUGCUUUUUAUAUUCGUUUUGAAUUGUUUGUAAUGUUUACGUGCGUUUUUUGGUUUCUUCAUUUGCAAAUAAAUUGGUGAAAGAGCAAGCAUCGAUGAAGACUCAUCUUGAUAUUGCGAAUACUAAGCUAAAGAAAUCUAUGGAGCAUAUUCGUGCAUUAGAAGAAAAAUUGCAGAAUGCAUUCAACGAGAAGACGCUCCUUUGGCUGAGCCUUUUAAAUCUAAAGGACUAAAAGUCGUUUCUAUUCUGAUUAGUAUUGGUGUCAUUGCUGGAAUCAAAUAAGCAUAUAAGAAUGGUUUGAAUUUAAGUAUAUUUCAUCUGGUGUUUUUGUUAACAUUUCAUAUGCAAGUUUCUUAUUUUUCUACUAUGGACUGAAGGUACAGUUACCCAAGUCUUUUGAUUAUUUUCCCUCACUUUCACAGAUCUGUUAAAUUUUAUUUUGUUCAUUUUUUUAUAAUAAGGAAUUCAUGGUUGGUUUGCAGAAUCAUGGUUUUUAAUUUUAUGGUUUACUUUAUGCCUUUUGAUGUUUAGGGUUCGGAUUAUUCUUUUUAAUUCUAUAGGUUCGGAUGAAGAAUAGUUGAAGGUGUUAACUUUCCAUAGGAAUGGGUGCGCGUAUCAGCCGAUGGUUUGGUGAUAUUUAAUGGGAACUUCGAAGCUACUGAUGUUGCCAAUGCAGUUCUGGAUGGAACAGACUGUGUGAUGCUUAGUGGUGAGACAGCUGUUGGAGCUUAUCCAGAACAAGUGAAUGUCUCGGGUUUAACCCCGUGACCCUACCCCUGAUAAUAACUGAACUGACUUAACAUGACGAUUAUUGUUGAUGAAUGACAUUGGAUAUUUGAAUUUUACAGUGCUGUGACUAAAUUGAAAUCGGAGAAGAAACCGAAAACCGAAACUCCUAAUGCUAUCAGAUUCUCCCUCCGAACCAGAGCCGUGGCAACAGAUUAUGUAGUUGGAGAUGAAAAGGGUUGGACACUUGGAGUUGAUUAUCAAGCUUGGGCUGCAAACAAGGCCUUUCAUCUUGGAGACACACUCAUACGUUGCUGGUAAGGACAGUGUGGUGAGAGUAAAUGGAAGUGAUUUUCAGAGUUGCUCAUUUCCUUGGGCAGCACCAGUGUUGGGUAGUGGAAAUGAUAAAGUGGUAUUGACAACAUAUGGAAGAAGAUGGUACAUUUCAGGUUUUGCUAACCACUGCAAAAAUGGACAAAAGCUUGUCAUAACUGUCUUGCCAUGACAACAAUCACCUUAGUCUCCAAUACCUUUACCUUCACCUUCAGCCUUGCCUGUGCCUGCCCCUGAAGCUGCACCGACUCCUAAUGCACCAUGGACCGCCACUGUUCCCCGUCGAUCCAUGCUUCCAAAGAAGCUAUUCAAAAUGAUUCACAGAAAUAUGAUGGCUGUUUGAGAUUGGAUGUUACCUGAAAGAGGGGUUGUUUUUGUACUGUAACUUAAGAGCAAAUUUCAGCCUCUUUUGCAUUUGUUGGUGCGAGCCUGAAUGAUUUAUUUUCAGGACUACAUCAUGUGGAGUUUGUUAGAAAUUUGUCCGGAUAAGUUCACAUCUGCUCAGGUCUUUUGGGACUGGUGUGAAGAGCUUCGGAUACGGCAGGUUAUUUUAUUUAGACACCAGUUAGCAUGAUGUAUAUGGCUGCUGAGAUAAUGUGACGGUCAUUGAAUCCGAAUGGAAUCGUCCCUGUUUCGAUUAAUGUCUGAACUGAGUUGCAGAGCGGUUCAGCUGGGUCUGGAAAUGUUGCCGCAGGAUUCUCGGUUUGAUUUUUGCGCUGCAACUUGGCUUCUCAUGUGCCGGUUCAUGGUCAACAAUGUUGGAGAAGAUGAAAAUAUCGCCGGCAUUUUGGCUGUGAUAUGCAGAUAUUGAUUUGGAAAAAGUUAAGGAGAACAUACUCUCAUUACCAAAAUAUUCUAACUUUUGCAUGAUAGAGUUUUCUGAUAUCAGUGGUUCAUGAAGAUUUUUAGAAUCCACAAGAAUAUUCUUGCAAAGAAUGUUAAAUGUUCAGUGUGAUGCAAAAUGUAAGAUGUUUCUCUUCACUAACUAUCAUCAUGAAUUUGAAAAUAACUUGAUCAAACUAGCCUCACAUUCUUCAAAAACAACUGAAAAGGAACAAAUGUGCUAACACACAAUCAUUUAUGCUCUUUUCAUGAUUUUGAUCGGAAGGAGAGCAACCGACUAAGACCACCAAAUACAUUAAUCAUUUCCAUCCAUGAACGUGUAAUUGAUAAUUGCACCACUGAGUGAAGACUAAUGGCGUAUUAUAAAACUAAUAUCCUACUUACCCCAGUUCUUUGUUGGUUCAGUCCUCCACUUGCUGCAAUAAGCAAGUAGCCAUUUCACAUGCGCUUACGUAUAGCAGUUGCAUUAUCCAAUUACCAUUGUGAGAUAGAAAGUGACAUGUAGAAAAAUUAAAUGAUUCAUUCCGAUAUUAACAAAUUGUCUAGAGGUAACAAAGUAUAAGAUGAAACACUUAAAUUUUCUCAGUCAUCUAAUGGAAGGGGCCAUGAAAGCCUCUUACAACUGGAACAAUUAUACACACGCUAUAAUUAGAAAGAAACAUUCAUUAAUCAAGAUAUAUUUGAUAAGUGCUAAAGGAAUAAGGACAA